UACGAGGGGGGCGAGCGUUGUUCGGAAUUAUUGGGCGUAAAGGGUGCGUAGGCGGUUUGGUAAGUCUUGUGUGAAAUCUACAGGCUCAACUUGUAGUCUGCACGAGAAACUGCCGGGCUUGAGUAUGGGAGAGGUGAGUGGAACUGCGAGUGUAGAGGUGAAAUUCGUAGAUAUUCGCAAGAACACCAGUGGCGAAGGCGGCUCACUGGCCCGGUACUGACGCUGAGGUGCAAAAGCGUGGGGAGCAAACAGG
rnacentral:rRNA from 1 species